rnacentral:tRNA from 1 species
GGGAGUUUAGCUCAGCUGGUUCAGAGCAUCUGCCUUACAAGCAGAGGGUCACAGGUUCGAAUCCUGUAACUCCCA